AGGGAUCAUUACAGAGUUGCAAAACUCCCACAAACCAUCGCGAAUCUUACCCGUACGGUUGCCUCGGCGCUGGCGGUCCGGAAAGGCCCUCGGGUCCUCCCGGAUCCUCGGGUCUCCCGCUCGCGGGAGGCUGCCCGCCGGAGUGCCGAAACUAAACUCUCGAUAUUUUAUGUCUCUCUGAGUAAACUUUUAAAUAAGUCAAAGCUUUCAACAACGGAUCUCUUGGUUCUGGCAUCGAUGAAGAACGCAGCGAAAUGCGAUAAGUAAUGUGAAUUGCAGAAUUCAGUGAAUCAUCGAAUCUUUGAACGCACAUUGCGCUCGCCAGUAUUCUGGCGAGCAUGCCUGUUCGAGCGUCAUUUCAACCAUCAAGCUCUGCUUGCGUUGGGGAUCCGCGGCUGCCCGCGGUCCCUCAAAAUCAGUGGCGGGCUCGCUAGUCACACCGAGCGUAGUAACUCUACAUCGCUAUGGUCGUGCGGCGGGUUCUUGCCGUAAAACCCCCCAUUUCUAAGGUUGACCUCGGAUCAGGUAGGAAUACCCGCUGAACUUAA
rnacentral:rRNA from 1 species